rnacentral:misc_RNA from 1 species
CUGACCUCAGGCUGGAUGGAAUAUUUUCUUUGGUUAAACCUUCAAGCAGCAUUAUCCAGGAAAAGGACUUGCACAAUACGGACAAGAUUUUUCACAAUCACUCCUAUUAACAGAGAUGCAAACAGAUUAUUCCAUUUUUUUUCCAUCAUUAAUUCUUGUUGAGAUUUACACUUUCGCAGAUAUUCUGAUAACUGUACAUAUAAAUGUGUAUUUUGUUACUUAAAAUUACAGCUUCAAUCAUUUCUUCUUUUUGUCUUCUUCCUUUUCUCUCUCAAGAACUACAGGGGCUGCUGGUAUGCUAAACCACCACUCUCUCAAUCUCCUCGACAAUCUUUCACUGCUUGCUUUCCUUGGAGGUGAAUACCUCGUAAAUGCCUCCAAAAAGGUGAGUAGAACUAUGUACUUGAUAGGUAUGAAAAGUAGGAUUAAAGCCAUGCAUAGAAGUGCUGCUGCAAAUUUCUCGCUCGCCUGAGGGAAAAUGGACAGCAAUAAGGCACGAAACUUGAGAAGGAAAAUGUUUCCAUCUUGGAUGAGCUGUUCAGCUUGAGAAAUUGCAUUCUGAACAGCCAAAAGCUGCUCCAUUGUGGUCAUUGGUGGAGGUGCUAUUACCUUAAGUUCGUUGUUGGGGCCUCCUUGGUUACAAUAUCGCGUGAGCACCACAAAAAUUGAAAGAAAGAUAAGCACCAUUCCAAAGGCAUAAGACAACCUUCCCCUCCAAAUGACAUAAGAAGAAAUAGAACAGAAAACCAAAGAUUUCACAGGAUCAUCCCAAUAUGCCAAGGAAAGAAGCCCCUUUCCAACUUCAAUGACAGGGUGAAGCAGCUCCUUCAUUACUGCCAAAUUGGUGUCAAUGCCAUCUACUUUAACUCCAUCAACUGUUUCUUGUGCUAGCACCACCUUUUUAUAGCUGUUUCUAGAUUCCUUAACAGCUCUUUCCAAUGAACUCAUCUCUCCCACAGCUAUCUCACCCACAGCAAGUGCAGCCCCAUUUGCAUCACUUGAACUUGUUCCAAACACAAAUCCUAAAUUGGAAAGCAUGGCCAAGGCUGAGAUUGAAUUCAUUCCACCUCCAGCCUUAUAAUUGUUAGUGCGUUCUAAUUCUCUCAUGGAAGACAUGCUCGCAAGAGUUUCUAGUAUCAAAUCUCCACCAGGAAGUUGAUCACAAAGAUUAAAUGUAAGAAGAGAUUCAAAACGAACAGAAUUUACAGAACUAAUAUCUUGAAUGGCUUGUAGUCGCAAAAUUCCAAGGAUGGCCUUUGAAAGAGCUUCUUCCCGUUCAACUCCUGUUAUUUGAAACUUAUUUAUGAAUCUGUGAACAUACAAAAUUUCCCGGAUAAUAGCUAGCCAAUAAUCACGGCGACUGUGCCCUUUAAGCUCAGGAAACUCCAUAACAACUGGUUCUGAUCUUACAAGGAAAUAGAUUUAUACAAGACCGCCUUGUCAAAAAGCCGUGUGCCCCAUGGUCCAGUUAAUUCAGGCCUGACAACUUGUUUUAGAUCAUCUGCCAAAUCAUAUACUUUUGGUUUGUCAUAAGAUACAACACGAAAAGCUUCAAAGUACAGUGCGUGGUCUGUGAGAAUUAGCCGACCUGGCCAGGUGGAUAUUCCAACAUGUUCAAGAACUGGUUGUGUGGUGACUGUUCCAUCCACUUCCAGAAUCUUUUCUCUUCUUGAUAAUCGAACAGAAGAAAGAAGUGAAGACUCUGACUGGCUCUUCAUCUUUUUUAUUGCCCUCUCUAGUCCACUUAGGUACUUGUCAUAGGUGGAGAAUUGAAGCCGACCACCGGUUGACAUAGUAAGCACCUCAAAAAGGUUUUCACUGAUAACCACAUCAGCAAUGAUUGGAACUACUGGAGCUAUGCGCAAAAAGGCCUCUAGCCCAACUGUUAAGUCUUCGUCUAUAUUAAGCAAAGGUUGGCUGGCAGCUGCUGGAGCUUCCCAAGCUAGCAUCAUGUCAUACGUCAAGCGUCGAAACUUUUUAUCAAUUAGAUGACCCGUUAAUUGAAUGGAUAGAGCCAGUGCUCUGAAGCAGCAGUAUUCCAAAAAGUUCCUUGCAUACCGGGAUGGAUGCUUUAUUGAAUCAGAAGCCUUCAGAUUGAAGCUUUCCUGCAGCUCAGUUGCCGAGAUGCCAAGGAUUUUUGAGCAUCUACGAACAAUCACAUUAGCCAGUGGAGAUAGCUCCGGUAUCCAAUUCCUGCUUGCAGAUGGAGACCUUCCCAUCUCCUCAAAUUCUUCAUCAAAAGAACUUCGCUUGCUAAGUAACCAUUUAAAUGAUCCUUCUCUCACUAGACCCUCAAACAAAUUUCUGGCCUUGCUAGUAGUUGCCAUCUCAAGUUGCUUAUUCAAAACCCAAGGACGAAAUUCACCAGCAGCUUUCUAUCUGAAUGCCACCCAUGGCAGAUAGCCAAAAUAUAUUCCCUUUCUUCAAAUCCCAGAAUAUAAAUUCAACAGUUCAAAUUCUAGUCAGAACCCUUCAACACCUUAUUUUUAUCCAAAUCCAGCUAUUGGGUUCUCUAAAAGCCUAAGCCCAAAACCUCAAAUUAAAAAGAACACCAAGCACUUGCCCGGAAAUUAUAUCCACACCUCAAUCUCUUCAAUUUGCAAUAUUGCAAGAACCCCACUUCAGAUUAAGUUCAGAACAAAUAUCUUAUACGAACUCACUUAAGCAAAUCGCAAAUUUCACAAAAAUACUUAAACUGAGAGAGCAAAGAAGAUGAAAACAAUCAAGCUGCUUCUAAAAGGGUUUAUUCACGAUUCUGCCUUGAUUGGGGGUUUAUCCAAAAGAGACAUGGGAAGGAGAGAGAGACAGACAUAGAUGGCUUCGUUUGUUGGGUAUGUGACGCGCAAGAUUGAGG